rnacentral:rRNA from 1 species
CGUACGGGACGAACGGCUGGCGGCGUGCCUAAUACAUGCAAGUCGAACGGUCUUUCUAUGGAAGCUUGCUUCCACUGAGAAGAUAGUGGCGAACGGGUGAGUAACACGUGGGUAACCUGCCCAUAAGAGGGGGAUAACAUCCGGAAACGGGUGCUAAUACCGCAUAGUUUUCUUGAUCGCAUGAUCGGGAAAGGAAAGACGGCCUUUGUGCUGUCGCUUAUGGAUGGACCCGCGGCGUAUUAGUUAGUUGGUGAGGUAACGGCUCACCAAGACGAUGAUACGUAGCCGACCUGAGAGGGUGAUCGGCCACAUUGGGACUGAGACACGGCCCAAACUCCUACGGGAGGCAGCAGUAGGGAAUCUUCCGCAAUGGACGAAAGUCUGACGGAGCAACGCCGCGUGAGUGAAGAAAAGGUUUUCGGAUCGUAAAACUCUGUUGUCAGAGAAGAACAAGUUGGAGAGUAACUGCUCCAGCCUUGACGGUAUCUGACCAGAAAGCCACGGCUAACUACGUGCCAGCCGCAGC